AACGAACGCUGGCGGCAGGCUUAACACAUGCAAGUCGAGCGCCCCGCAAGGGGAGCGGCAGACGGGUGAGUAACGCGUGGGAAUCUACCCAUCUCUACGGAAUAACGCAUGGAAACGUGUGCUAAUACCGUAUACGGCCUUCGGGAGAAAGAUUUAUCGGAGAUGGAUGAGCCCGCGUUGGAUUCGCUAGUUGGUGGGGUAAAGGCCUACCAAGGCGACGAUCCAUAGCUGGUCUGAGAGGAUGAUCAGCCACACUGGGACUGAGACACGGCCCAGACUCCUACGGGAGGCAGCAGUGGGGAAUAUUGGACAAUGGGCGCAAGCCUGAUCCAGCCAUGCCGCGUGAGUGAUGAAGGCCCUAGGGUUGUAAAGCUCUUUCACCGGUGAAGAUAAUGACGGUAACCGGAGAAGAAGCCCCGGCUAACUUCGUGCCAGCAGCCGCCGUAACAC
rnacentral:rRNA from 1 species